rnacentral:rRNA from 1 species
UCGUAGAUAUUAGAAAGAAUACCAAUUGCGAAGGCAGCUUUCUGGAUCAUUACUGACACUGAGGAACGAAAGCAUGGGUAGCGAAGAGGAUUAGAUACCCUCGUAGUCCAUGCCGUAAACGAUGUGUGUUAGACGUUGGAAAUUUAUUUUCAGUGUCGCAGCGAAAGCGAUAAACACACCGCCUGGGGAGUACGACCGCAAGGUUAAAACUCAAAUGAAUUGACGGGGACCCGCACAAGUAGUGGAGCAUGUGGUUUAAUUCGAAGAUACGCGCAGAACCUUACCAACACUUGACAUGUUCGUCGCGACUUUAAGAGAUUAAAGUUUUCGGUUCGGCCGGACGAAACACAGGUGCUGCAUGGCUGUCGUCAGCUCGUGUCGUGAGAUGUUGGGUUAAGUCCCGCAACGAGCGCAACCCUCACUUUUAGUUGCCAUCAUUAAGUUGGGCACUCUGAAAGAACUGCCAGUGAUAAGCUGGAGGAAGGUGGGGAUGACGUCAAGUCCUCAUGGCCCUUACGUGUUGGGCUACACACGUGCUACAAUGGUAUCUACAACAGGAAGCGAAACAGCGAUGUUAAGCAAAUCCUUAAAAGAUACCUCAGUUCGGAUUGCACUCUGCAACUCGAGUGCAUGAAGCUGGAAUUACUAGUAAUCGUGGAUCAGCGUGCCACGGUGAAUGCGUUCCCGGGUCUUGUACACACCGCCCGUCACACCAUGGGAGUUGGUUCUACCUUAAGGCAAGGUUUAAUACCCUUGACCACGGUAUAGUCAGCGACUGGGGUGAAGUCGUAACAAGGUAGCCGUAGGGGAACCUGCGGCUG